ACUUCCGCACUGGAAAAGGUGCUACGAGCACAACCUGCCGGCUUGGAAACCGCUUUCUUUGCCCCCUGCUACCGCUUCCAGCCGAGCACCGCCCUUCCCUAGAAAGUGACACGUACUUAAAACCAGAGAAAUGCAGGUGUUGGCAUUGGAGCCGCACGGCGGCCUUCAGAGUUAGUCAGCUGGCGCUGGUUUAGACUUUAGAUUUUUUUCUAUUAUAAAAAUGAGCAUAAACAACCCUUGCCCUCCAGAUACAUUCUAAUCGAAGGAGAAAUAUGCAAGAACUACGUACAAACAAGAUCUAGCAUUGCCUCUGCUACUUACUAACUGUGUGACCCUGGGGUCCAGGUCUCAUCACCCCAUCACAUCCAUCCAUCUAUCUCAUGCCAGGCCCUUCACUAAACACUAGGGAUACAAAGCAGUUCAAUCCUUUAAAAAAAGCUCCUACGACACCCAGAAGACUGCAGAAUCCCACUCCUGCUUCCCUAUGGGAAUGACCCUAUGGCCUGGGCCACCUGUGUUCAGGAUUUGGACUACAGUUUCUAAUGUAUCCACACCUUUUGCUUCGUCACCCAUCAUCACAGGACUUUGAGGACUCACACAGAGCGUGACACAUGGUGGUGAGAAUUGAUACGAGGACACUGUCAAGGUCUCUCUGAAGAACUGUGGAAUUGAUUGUGUGA